ACAAGGAACCCGACCCCGCCCAGUGGUGGGGCCUGGCGGCGCGGCUCGCACAGAGCGCAGGCGCGGCGCACACUGGCGUCCCUGGCCCUUGAAAGGUCUAAGCCCCGGGCAUCCGGAAUCCCUGAGAUUUCCCUGAGAGGGGAGGUGAGUUCGCAGAGAGCAGGGCUCCAAGUGCGCUCCAAGUGCGGACUGGGCAGGAGUGGCCCCUAGUGGGCAGAUGUCUCCCACACCGAAGCUUGGAACAGUCUCCUGGUCACUCAUUUUGCUCAGUAAAUGGCUACCCUUCCUGCUUCCUGUCUAAACCGAUGUAGUCUCUGAGUUGU
rnacentral:lncRNA from 1 species